rnacentral:rRNA from 1 species
ACUCAAAUGAAUAGACGGGGGCCCGCACAAGCGGUGGAGCAUGUGGUUCAAUUCGAUGCAGAGCGAAGAACCUUACCUGGGCUUGACAUGCAGGAAGUAGAAACCCGAAAGGGCAACGACCCGUUGAAUCGGGAACCUGCACAGGUGGUGCAUGGCUGUCGUCAGCUCGUGCCGUGAGGUGUUGGGUUAAGUCCCGCAACGAGCGCAACCCUCACCCUAUGUUGCCAACGGUUCGGCCGGGCACUCUUAGGGAACUGCCGGCGAAGAGCUGGAGGAAGGGGGGGAUGACGUCAAGUCCGUAUGCCCCUUAUGUCCAGGGCUACACACAUGCUACAAUGCGCGCUACAGAGGGUCGCCAACCCGCGAGGGGGAGCCAAUCCCAUAAAGGCGCGCUCAGUUCGGAUUGCAGGCUGCAACUCGCCUGCAUGAAGUCGGAAUCGCUAGUAAGCGCAGAUCAGCAGGCUGCGCUGAAUACGUUCCCGGGCCUUGUACACACCGCCCGU